rnacentral:rRNA from 1 species
UGACCUCGGAUCAGGUAGGGAUACCCGCUGAACUUAAGCAUAUCAAUAAACGGAUGAAUACCG